rnacentral:rRNA from 1 species
AUUGAACGCUGGCGGCAGGCCUAACACAUCCAAGUCGAACGAGUGGCGGACGGGUGAGUAAUGUCUGGGAAACUUCCUGAUGGAGGGGGAUAACUACUGGAAACGGUAGCUAAUACCGCAUACUAUCAGCUUUGCCCAGAUGGGAUUAGCUUGUUGGUGGGGUAGCGGCUCACCAAGGCGACGAUCCCUAGCUGGUCUGAGAGGAUGACCAGCCACAAUGGAACGGAGACACGGUCCAGACUCCUACGGGAGGCAGCAGUGGGGAAUAUUGCACAAUGGGCGCAAGCCUGAUGCAGCCAGGCCGCGUGUAUGAAGAAGGCCUUCGGGUUGUAAAGUACUUUCAGCGGGGAGGCGUUACCCGCAGAAGAAGGACCGGCUAACUCCGUGCCAGCAGCCGCGGUAAUUC